rnacentral:snoRNA from 11 species
UGCUUUGAUGAAAACGGUAAUCUUCUUUCCCAGUCCGAUUCGACCAUGACGAUCAGGGUUUCUACCACGUCCAUCUUUCUCUGACUUGACUCUCUCUUCUCUUCGGAGGAUUGGGAGGAUAGGAUGGGAUUGUGAGGACUUUUCUUGCCAGUGUAUUACGUAUACACAACAAAGACUCUGAGCA